UGUGGGCUGUAUAGAUUUUAAUAUAAAAUAAACGAUUUAUAAGAAUGCAUUGAAAAAAACAACAUCAUGCAGCCAAUGAAAAAUAACUAAAACUGUGAUUUCUCGUCUUACCUACGUUCUCGCCGGUCAAUUCUUGUUUUUUAAUAGCCUCGGGUGAAAGGUCUGAAAAAUAUUAUUAGUAAAAAAAAAAUGUGUGCAAAGGUUAGAUGUGCAACAAAAAAAAAAACAUGGCGGAAAGUAAUAAAAUAUGACGAUGUCUGUUAGUGAACAUAGAGACAACACAAAUGAUGGAAUCGUUAUCUGAAACCGGCCACAACCCUUGACCUGAAACGAAAACCAGCCCGUGGCGAGGCCUAGCGCCUUAAAAAGCUGAGAAAUAAGAAGAAAUUAAUACAAAAGACAUGUGCAAUUCUUCAUAAAAAAAAAUCUAACUUGAUUCAAAUGGGCCAACAAGAAAUUAGAUAUUCAAUGUUACAAAUGGAAAUCACCAAUCAUGAAUCUUUUAACCCCUACC